AACGAACGCUGGCGGCAGGCCUAACACAUGCAAGUCGAGCGCGCCCUUAGGGGUGAGCGGCGGACGGGUGAGUAACGCGUGGGAACGUGCCCUUUUCUACGGAAUAGCCUCUGGAAACUGAGAGUAAUGCCGUAUACGCUCUUUGGGGGAAAGAUUUAUCGGAAAAGGAUAGGCCCGCGUUGGAUUAGGCUGUUGCGGGGGGAUUGGCCUACCAAGCCGACGAUCCAUAGCUGGUUUGAGAGGAUGAGCAGCCACACUGGGACUGAGACACGGCCCAGACUCCUACGGGAGGCAGCAGUGGGGAAUCUUAGACAAUGGGGGCAACCCUGAUCGAGCCAGGCCGGGUGAGUGAUGAAGUCGUUAGGGUUGUAAAGCUCUUUCAGCUGGGAAGAUAAUGACGGUACCAGCAGAAGAAGCCCCGGCUAACUCCGUG
rnacentral:rRNA from 1 species